GGAUUAACUCCUCCUACCAGCUUUUCGUUCAGGAGUGGCCAGCCCAGAGCGCGAAACCUCGCGCGCACCACGCUGGCUCAUACGGACGUUGCAGAACAAAAGGAUAAAUUGAAUCACAAUUCAUGAUUGAAUCCCACCGUCUAAUUUCGUUUCUCAAGAGGCCAAUACUUGCGAAGUGUUGACACUACAAACCAGGCAAUUGUACUAAUGAAAACGCAAGAGCAUGAGGACAUAUGAGGAGCUGUUGGUGGCUUCGAGAGACUAGAAAUUUUUGACAAAGCCAUGGGGAGGGACUCUUAGCGGGUGGUGUGUGUGCUGUUUGAUGUGAAGGUUUUUUUUUCGUCUGCGGAAUACUGGGUUUCGUGAACUCUCGGCCCUUGUCGCAAGGGUUCUUCUCUCAGAAACUUGACACCAGGGGGAUUCAUCCUGUGUAAGAACACAGCUGAACGGCUUACUUGACUUUUCAAGAGGUGUUCCUGUUUGUGACAACACUUGUGGAACGACCCCACGACAAAGAACAGAGGGUGAGUCAUAAAUUAUGCAAAUGAACAUCUACCAACUUUCCUGUUCUGCUUCUGGAACUUACUACACGUUUCUAUACCCACUUUACCCUGUAUUGUACUGCUUAAAAUGGUGUAAAAUAUUCCUCACAGCCCAGAGAAUCAAUGAUCCACAGAAGAUGACUGUUACACAUGGUGUUACUUUACGGAGAAUACCAACGGAAUUCUGUAGCAACAGCAAGAAUGUACGCGACAAGACACCCGUACUCAUCCAAAAUUGUACCCACUGUUCCCUGUCUUCAAGAAACAGGCUCUACCAAACUACGACGGUGGCCAGAUUUCUAUUGCACAUUAUAUGAUCCGACGAGCUACAGUUUUAGCGGGAUGGAUUGGUCAAUGCCCAUAAUGGCCACUACUGGGUAACUGACAGUUCACAUUGUCUGCGGCAAUACGACAAUCAAGUAAAAUGGCGUACUAAUGUGUAGUGUGACAUUUAUUGUCAUCACAUAAUUAGAUUAAUGUUCUAGGACAAGAAACUAACAGAGAAUUAUUUUGUGGAUCUGAUUCUAUAAGACAUUGUGACUAGAUUUGUUGAUGAUUUCCCAGAGGAUGUGGUUUCAACCCAUUUCCGCAAUUGCUUAUAUGAAGAUUCCAGAACAGUGGAUUGGAACUUAUUACAUCAAAGAACGGGUAUAUGCCACAUCCAUUACAAUUUUGCAAGAACGAAUUCGUGUGGCAUGUACAGAAAUUCCCGUGUAAUUCUUUACUAAGAUUCACUAUUUCAUUUUUUUUUAAGUUAUAUUGAUUUUGAACAUACGCAUACUGUAUUUUUUGUUAUUAUUUUCUGAUGAAUUCAG
rnacentral:misc_RNA from 1 species